rnacentral:rRNA from 1 species
UACGUAGGGGGCUAGCGUUGUCCGGAAUCAUUGGGCGUAAAGAGCGUGUAGGCGGUCCGGUAAGUCCGCUGUGAAAGUCGGGGGCUCAACCCUCGAAUGCCGGUGGAAACUGUCGGGCUAGAGUCCGGAAGAGGCGAGUGGAAUUCCUGGUGUAGCGGUGAAAUGCGCAGAUAUCAGGAGGAACACCGAUGGCGAAGGCAGCUCGCUGGGACGGUACUGACGCUGAGGCGCGAAAGCGUGGGGAGCAAACAGG